GAUGAACGCUAGCGGCAGGCCUGAUACAUGCAAGUCGAACGGUAACAUGAGCGCCUGCGCUUGAUGACGAGUGGCGCACGGGUGCGUAACGCGUAUGCAACCUACCCUUUACUGGGGGAUAGCCCGGAGAAAUUCGGAUUAAUACCCCAUGGUACUGACAGAAGGCAUCUGAAGACAGUUAAAGAUUUAUUGGUAAAGGAUGGGCAUGCGUGACAUUAGUUAGUUGGUAAGGUAACGGCUUACCAAGACGAUGAUGUCUAGGGGUUCUGAGAGGAAGGUCCCCCACACUGGUACUGAGACACGGACCAGACUCCUACGGGAGGCAGCAGUAGGGAAUAUUGGUCAAUGGACGCAAGUCUGAACCAGCCAUGCCGCGUGCAGGAAGACAGCUUUCUGAGUUGUAAACUGCUUUUAUAUAGGAACAAAGAGGCCCUGCGGGGCAAGUUGCGUGUACUAUAUGAAUAAGCACCGGCUAACUCCGUGCCAGCAGCCGCGGUAAUACGGAGGGUGCAAGCGUUGUCCGGAUUUAUUGGGUUUAAAGGGUGCGUAGGUGGCUAAUUAAGUCAGUGGUGAAAGCCUGCAGCUCAACUGUAGAGGUGCCAUUGAUACUGAUUAGCUUGAGUAUGGACGAGGUAGGCGGAAUUUGUGGUGUAGCGGUGAAAUGCAUAGAUACCACAAAGAACACCGAUAGCGAAGGCAGCUUACUGGACCAUAACUGACACUGAGGCACGAAAGCGUGGGGAGCGAACAGGAUUAGAUACCCUGGUAGUCCACGCCGUAAACGAUGCUCACUCGAUGUAUGCGAUAUACUGUAUGCGUCCAAGCGAAAGCGUUAAGUGAGCCACCUGGGGAGUACGCUCGCAAAAGUG
rnacentral:rRNA from 1 species